CUAUGCGCCUUGCCAGCCCGCUCAGGUGUGCCAGCCGCCGCGGUAAUACGGAGGAUGCGAGCGUUAUCCGGAUUUAUGGUUUAAAGGGUGCGUAGGUGGUUAAUUAAGUCAGCGGUGAAAGUUUGUGGCUCAACCAUAAAAUUGCCGUUGAAACUGGUUGACUUGAGUAUAUUUGAGGUAGGCGGAAUGCGUGGUGUAGCGGUGAAAUGCAUAGAUAUCACGCAGAACUCCGAUUGCGAAGGCAGCUUACUAAACUAUAACUGACACUGAAGCACGAAAGCGUGGGGAUCAAACAGG
rnacentral:rRNA from 1 species